rnacentral:tRNA from 1 species
AGGGGAGUAGCUCAAUUUGGCAGAGCAGCGGCCUCCAAAGCCGAAGGUUGCGGGUUCGAGUCCUGUCUCCCCUGCCA